CUGGAAAUAAUAUUAUUUUACGGUAGGAGUUUUGUGCCCAUUUCAGACUAUAAUUUCAGGUUCUCUUUUCACACUCAAGGGUACAAUGAUGAAUGGUACCAGCUGUGUAAUUGUAGUUUUGGAGUUCCUCAGUACACAGCAAUAUAAUAAUACGAAGCCUCAGUGCUAACGGCAGUCAGAAGCCUUGGCAACGGUCAGCUGCUGCACAUGCUUUUGUUCAUCACAAUGUUGCAGUACUUCUGAGCUGUAUAGGUACUCCCCAUUUCAAGUUGUAAGGUAGAUCUGGAAAAAAAGGGGAAGACACAGGGCAAACUGCUGCCCCCGAGAUUGGAGAGACAGACAGCGAAUCAGGGAGACUCACAAGCAGAAACUAAUAUGAGAACCAGUGCUAGGUAAGAAAACCUGAAUUAUAAUUAAUGAUUUAUUAGAGGCUCCAUGUGGACGACACUGGAAGUUAAAAACUCCAGGGGGUCCAGGCAUAGGGGGUCCCACAGUAUCAUGAGAUGUAUUUUCAGGGGCUCUACCAGAUUCCCGCAGUAAAUAUGAGAGAAACAUUCCUUCAGCCUUCCAGCAGGGGGAGAAAAAAAGGAACCAUUUUGAAAUAGGUCAGAGAAUUCUGUCUUGCUUAACAAAACUUGCCCUCAGAAAAAACUAGCUAAUGAAAGCCUAACAUGUUGGGGUAUUAUUAAAGCCUAAUUGACCUCGGGGAAGGAAAAUACCUAACUCCAGCCAGCUCUAGCCAUCUUGUCCCACUCAAGGAGGGAGAAAAAAACUGAGAAACACUUGUGAAGUUCAUAGUCCAGAGGCACAGGUGCUAAAAGUCUGAGACCUAGUCAUAGACCUAUAGACUGCUUCCUUUCCUCCCACACCUCACCACCACACCACUAAAGGCCUAUUUACAGCACUUCCGUUUAGCUGGUACAUAAUGCCUGGCUGUCAAGGAAAAAUUAAAAGACGUACGAAAGGCAAAAAACACAAUUUGAAGAGACAGCACAGGCAUCAGAGCCAUCCAUGGUAGGGAUUUGGGAAUUAUCAGACCAGGAAUUUAAAAGAACUUUGGUUAAUAUGCUAAGAGCUCUAAUGGAUUAAGUAGACAGCAUGCAAGAAUGGAUGGGCAAUGUAAGCAGAGAGAUGGAAACCUUAAGAUAGACUCAAAAUGAGAUUCUAGAGAUAAAAAACCACUAUAACAGAAAUGAAGAAUGUCUUUGAUGGGCUUAUUAGUAGACUGGACAUGGCUAAGGAAAGAAUCUCUGUGCAAGGGGAUGUAUCACUAGAACCUCACAAAACAAAUAUAGCAAAGACAAAAGAAAAAAUAACAGAAUAUCCAAGGACUGAGGGAUGACUACAAAAGGUGUAACAUAUACAUAAUAUAAGAAGGAAAAGAAAGAAAUAAAGGAAUAGAAGAAAUAUUUGAAACAAUGAUGACUGGGAAUUUCCCCCAAAUUACUGUCAGACACCAAACCAUAGAUCUUGGAAGCUCAGAGAACACCAGGCAGGAUAAAUGCCAAACAGUGAUACAUAGGCAUGUAAUUUUUAAACCACAGAAAAUCAAAGAUAAAGAAAAAACUCUGAAAGAAGGCAGAGGAAAAAAAACCCUUAACUAUUAAAGAACAAGGAUAAAAACUACAUCCAACUUCUCCUCAGAAACCACACAAACAAAAAUAGAGGGGAGUGAAAAAUUUAAAGUGUUGAGUAAAAAAAAUCAUCAGUCUAGCAUUCUGUACCCUGAAAAAUUAUCCUUCAAAAGUGCAGGAGAAAUAGACGUUUUCAGACAAAGAAAAAUUGAGGGAAUUUGUUGCCAGCACACCUGGCUUGCAUAAAAUGUUGAAAGAAGUUCUUUGGAGAGAAGAAAAUUAACAUAGGUCAGAAAAUCAGAUCUACACAAAGAAAAGAAGAACAUUGAAGAAGGAAUAAGUGAUAGAAAAGCAAAACUUUUAUUUUCCUUAUUCUUAAUUGAUCUAACAUAAGUUUGUUCAAAAUAAUAGCAACGAUGUAUUCACUUAUGCAUGCUUGUGUAUAUAUCAUAUAUGUAUCACAUAUAUAUGCUUAUGUAUGCUUAUAUAUAUCUGAAAUAAAUGGCAGCGAGGAUACAAGGGAUGGGAGGAAGGAAUUAGGGUUAUUUUGUUAUUUUAAGGUACUCACACCACCCCUGAACUGUUAUAGUGUUGUAUGAAAGUGGACUUGGAUUAAUUGUAAAUGUUUAUUGCAAACUCUAGGGAAACCACUAAAUUAGUAAAAAAAAAAAAAAAGAAAGAAAAAAAGAAAUAACUGCAAGGCUGAAAAAGGAGAGAAAAUGGAAUUAUAUAAAAUGCUCAAUGCACAACAGCAGAAAAAUGCACAAAAAGCAGAAAAAUAGAGUGGAAGACAAAAAUAGGAACUACGAAGAAG
rnacentral:lncRNA from 1 species